CCCGUCCGCUCAGCCGUACUUAAGCCACACGCCGGAAGGUUAGUAGUUGGGUGGGUGACCACCAGCGAAUCCCUUCUGUUGUAUGUA
rnacentral:rRNA from 1 species